UACGAAGGGUGCAAGCGUUACUCGGAAUUACUGGGCGUAAAGCGUGCGUAGGCGGUGAGUUAAGUCUGUCGUGAAAGCCCCGGGCUCAACCUGGGAAUGGCGAUGGAUACUGGCUCGCUAGAGUGCGGUAGAGGAGAGUGGAAUUCCCGGUGUAGCAGUGAAAUGCGUAGAGAUCGGGAGGAACAUCAGUUGCGAAGGCGGCUCUCUGGACCAGAACUGACACUGAGGCACGAAAGCGUGGGGAGCAAACAGG
rnacentral:rRNA from 1 species